rnacentral:lncRNA from 1 species
ACUACAUAGAUUAUAUAAAUAAAUAAAUUUAUAGCAACAUCCAUCUAAACAGUGAAGUGCGGUAUUGUCUGCGUAUGACGAUCAUUGGCGAGACCAAAAGCUGUUGAAGGAGAGUAGCCAUGUGUGGAACGUUAAUGUUUGUAUCCACUAUGACCGACGUAUACCAGCUAUUGGUUUCUGGCCUGUUGUCUUUUCAUAUAUUAUUAUCUGCGCACCACCUCCACGCCAUGGGCAGUUCAACCGGGUCAUUAUCGUUGAUUAUCUGUUGCGUACGUCUUCUUUUUUGGAGUUCGAGAGCUUCUAGGGUAUUGAUCCCUGUAGGAUAUCUUAAAGGCUUAAUUAUAGACACCGCAUUCCACUUGAUGUCUAU